rnacentral:lncRNA from 1 species
GUUGGAUCCCUCUAGAAACACCUGCCAAGAAUAUUUACCCAUGUUUAUAUAACCUGGCAACAGGCUUUGUUCUCUACCACUUACACCCUUAAAAAAAGAAAAGAAAAGUGGAGCAAGGCAGCCCUUUUUCCUACUCCUGUCUCCUGCGCUGCCCAGUGGACACAGCUACCUCUUCAGAAACAAGGAGAGAGGGAGAGCCCCACACACCCCGGGGGUAAUGUCAGCCUUCUCAGGAGCAAGGGAAAAGAAAGUCGCAAUGGCCCAGCAUCAUGAAAGGACUUCAGAGCUGGAGAGUAAUUACCCUCCAAAGUCCUGUGAGACCCUCACAGUAAUAGCACCUCUGUCUUGCCUGGGACCUGUCUCGGGAGCACUGAACUGAGAUUAUGGUCAUCAACUUUUUUCUCCCCAAGUCUUUGACCUUAAAAGUGGAUGGAAUGCGAUCUGGCUUUGCUAACAAUGUAUUCUUCAUCUCUAAGAUGGAUUCCUC